GAAAUGCGAUAAGUAGUGUGAAUUGCAGAAUUCAGUGAAUCAUCGAAUCUUUGAACGCACAUUGCGCCCCUUGGUAUCCCGAGGGGCAUGCCUGUUCGAGCGUCAUUUCACCCCUCAAGCCUGGCUUGGUGUUGGGCGACGUCCUCUUUGGGGACGCGCCUCAAAACGCUCGGCGGCGUGGCACCGGCUUUAAGCGUAGCAGAAUCUUAUCUUUCGCUUUGAAAGUCGGGGCCACAUCUGCCGGAAGACCUACUCGCAAGGUUGACCUCGGAUCAGGUAGGGAUACCCGCUGAACUUAA
rnacentral:misc_RNA from 1 species